rnacentral:tRNA from 1 species
GCCUGGGUGGCUCAGUGGUUAAACGCCUGCCUUUGGCUCAGGUGGUGAUCUCACGGUUCGUGGGUUCGACGCCCACCUCGGGCU